rnacentral:rRNA from 1 species
GUAAAGCGCGCGCAGGCGGAUUGGUCAGUCUGUCUUAAAAGUUCGGGGCUUAACCCCGUGAUGGGAUGGAAACUGCCAAUCUAGAGUAUCGGAGAGGAAAGUGGAAUUCCUAGUGUAGCGGUGAAAUGCGUAGAUAUUAGGAAGAACACCAGUGGCGAAGGCGCCUUUCUGGACUGUGUCUGACGCUGAGAUGCGAAAGCCAGGGUAGCGAACGGGAUUAGAUACCCCGGUAGUCCUGGCCGUAAACGAUGGGUACUAGGUGUAGGAGGUAUCGACCCCUUC